rnacentral:rRNA from 1 species
CAUUAUAUAUCUUUUUUCAAGUAGGACGGGGCACGAGAAACCCUGUUUGAAUCCGGCAGGACCACCUGCCAAGGCUAAAUAUAUUGAUUGAUCGAUAGCGAACUAGUACAGUGAUGGAAAGGUGAAAAGAACCCCGGGAGGGGAGUGAAAUAGAACCUGAAACUUAGUGCCUACAAGGUGUCGGAGCAGCUUCGGCUGUGACGGCGUGCUUUUUGUAGAACGAUCCAGCGAGUUAAUGUUGUCGGCGAGGCUAAGUCAGAUGAUGGAGCCACAGUGAAAGCGAGCCUUAACAGGGCGACAAGUCGGCAGUAUUAGACCCGAAACCGGGUGACCUAACCAUGAGCAGGUUGAAGCUGCAGUAACAUGCAGUGGAGGACCGAACCAGGAUACGCAGUAAAGUGUUUGGAUGACUUGUGGUUAGCGGUGAAAUGCCAAUCGAACUCGGAGAUAGCUGGUUCUCCUCGAAAUAGCUUUAGGGCUAGCGUUGUGUUAGUAAUCACCAGGGGUAGAGCUCUGAAAAGGUUUGGGGCCGGCAACGGUACCCACCCUUAUCAAACUACGAAUACUGGUGGUGUAACCACAGCAGUCAGAACGGCGGGGCUAAGCUCGUCGCUCAAAAGGGAAACAGCCCAGAUCAUCGUCUAAGGUCCCCAAUUAACACUAAGUGGGAAACAAAGUGAAGUUUCUUAAACAGCUAGGAUGUUGGCUUAGAAGCAGCCAUUCAUUUAAAGAGUGCGUAACAGCUCACUAGUCAAGAGAUUUUGCGUGGAAAAUGUAACGGGGCUAAAGUGUUAAACCGAAGACAUGGACUUCUGCUUAUGCAGGAGUGGUAGAGGAGCGUUGAUAUCGCAGUGAAGUCAGAUUGUAAAGUCUGGUGGAGCGUUAUCAAGUGAGAAUGCUGGAAUCAGUAACCUUAAGACAGGUGAGAAUCCUGUCGGUCGUAAGAGCAAGGUUUCCAGGGCCACAGUAAUUGUCCCUGGGUUAGUCGGUCCUAAGCCGAGGCGUAUUAGCGUAGGCGAUGGACAACAGGUUAAUAUUCCUGUACAGGUAGUAGUUGUGAACAGUUCACGGUGAAUGACCGGAGCGGAUUAAUGGUUUAUCCGUCCAAGUCUCUAGGGAACUAGAGAUGAGUGAAAGGUAAUCUUCGGAUUAUUAAUUUCGGGUGAAGCACUGGCUAGAAAAGCUGGUUCACUUAUGCUGCUGCCUACCGUACCGCAAACCAACACCGGUGCUCGGGUCGAGUAGACCAAGACCUACGUGAGAACCUUCGCUAAGGAACUCGGCAAAAAAGCGUCCGUAACUUCGGAAUAAGGACUGCCCUCUCAUUAAGAUGAGGAUUUGCUAGAAACUUGGUGGAAAACAUAAGGUUAAUAAUAUUUACCUAAUAAUUUAACCAAAUUUUUCGUCAAGACAGAACACAUCAGGAAAUAUCCUGUGAUAUCUUUUCUAGUAACUCAAUCGUCAUUUUGAUGAGAGGGUCGCAGCUAAAGAGCCCACGGAACUGUUUAACAAAAACAUAGGUCUCUGCUAACGCGAAAGCGGAUGUAUAGGGGCUGACUCCUGCCCGGUGUCGGAAGGUUAAGGGGAGAGCUUUACGGUUCGAACUGAAGCCCCGAUGAACGGCGGCGAUAACUAUGAUCGUCCUAAGGUAGCGAAAUUCCUUGUCUGGUAAGUUCAGACCCGCACGAAUGGAGUAAUCAUGUGGGCACUGUCUCGGCGAAGGCCACGGUGAACGUGCAUUGGCGGUAAAGAUGCCGUCUGAUCAUGCCAGGACGAGAAGACCCCAUGGAGCUUUACUACAACUUUGCAUUGAUUAUUGGGACAUUUUGUGUAGAAUAGGUGGAAGACUUUGAAGCAGAUACGCUAGUAUUUGUGGAGUCGAAAUGUGAAAUACCACCCUGAAUGUUUUAGUAAUCUCACUUUUGACCUUAUCGGCCAAGAGGACCGUGCAUGGCGGGUAGUUUAACUGGGGCGGUUGCCUCCUAAAGAGUAUCGGAGGCGUUCAAAGGUUGGCUAGCUACGGAUGGAAAUCGUAGCGAUAGUGUAUGCGCAAAAGCCAGCUUGACUGUGAGGGCUACAACCCAAUCAGACACGAAAGUGGGUGCA